GCCUGGGUGGUGAAACCGGUAUACACAGGGCACUUAAAAUGCCCCGCCUAACGGCUUGCGGGUUCGAGUCCCGCCCCAGGCA
rnacentral:tRNA from 1 species